rnacentral:lncRNA from 1 species
AUGCUCAAACUACUGCACAAUUGCACCAUCUCACAUGCUAGCAAAGUAAUGUUCAAAAUUCUCCAAGCCAGGCUUCAGCAAUACGUGAACCGUGAACUUCCUAAUGUUCAAGCUGGUUUUAGAAAAGGCAGAGGAACCAGAGAUCAAAUUGCCAACAUCUGCUGGAUCAUGGAAAAAGCAAGAGAGUUCCAGAAAAACGUCUCUUUCUGCUUUCUUGACUAUGCCAAAGCCUUUGACUGUGUGGAUCACAAUAAACUGUGGACAAUUCUGAAAGAGAUGGGAAUACCAGACCACCUGACCUGCCUCUUGAGAAAUCUGUAUGCAGGUCAGGAAGCAACAGUUAGAACUGGACAUGGAACAACAGACUGGUUCCAAAGAGGAAAAGGAGUACAUCAAGGCUGCAUAUUGUCACCCUGCUUAUUUAACUUAUACGCAGAGUACAUCAUGAGAAACGCUGGGCUGGAGGAAGCACAAGCUGGAAUUAAUAUUGCCGGGAGAAAUAUCAAUAACCUCAGAUAUGCAGAUGACACCACCCUUAUGGCAGACAGUGAAGAGGAGCUAAAAAGCCUCUUGAUGAAAGUGAAAGAGGAGAGCGAAAACGUUGGCCUAAAGCUCAACAUUCAGAAAACGAAGAUCAUGGCAUCCGGUCCCAUCACUUCAUGGGAACUAGAUGGGCAAACAGUGGAAACAGUGUCAGACUUUAUUUUGGGGGGCUCCAAAAUCACUGCAGAUGGUGACUGCAGCCACGAAAUUAAAAGACGCUUACUCCUUGGAAGAAAAGUUAUGACCAACCUAGAGAGCAUAUUCAAAAGCAGAGACAUUACUUUGCCGACUAAGGUCCAUCUAGUCAAGGCUAUGGUUUUUCCUGUGGUCAUGUAUGGAUGUGAGAGUUGGACCGUGAAGAAGGCUGAGCGCCGAAGCAUUGAUGUUUUUGAACUUUGGUGUUGGAGAAGACUCUUGAGAGUCCCUUGGACUGCAAGGAGAUCCAACCAGUCCAUUCUGAAGGAGAUCAACCCUGGGAUUUCUUUGGAAGGAAUGAUGCUAAAGCUGAAGCUCCAGUUUUGGCCACCUCAUGCGAAGAGUUGA